rnacentral:rRNA from 1 species
UACGUAGGCAGCGAGCGUUGUUCGGAAUUACUGGGCGUAAAGAGUGUGUAGGCGGUGCUCUAAGUUCGGUGUGAAAACUCGAGGCUCAACUUCGAGCUGUCGGUGGAAACUUUCUGGCUAGAGUCCGGAAGAGGAGAAUGGAAUUCCUGGUGUAGCGGUGAAAUGCGCAGAUAUCAGGAAGAACACCCGUGGCGAAGGCGGUUCUCUGGGACGGUACUGACGCUGAGACGCGAAAGCGUGGGGAGCGAACAGG